GGGCCCGUGGUCUAGACGGUUAUGACGCCACCCUUACAAGGUGGAGGUCCGGGGUUCGAAUCCCCGCGGGCCCA
rnacentral:tRNA from 1 species